GCCAGGGAUAGCUCAGUUAGUAGAGCACGAGACUCCUGAUUUCAGGGUUGUGGGUUUGAGCCCCACAUUGGGCA